GACGAACGCUGGCGGCGUGCUUAAUCCAUGCACGUCGAACGAAGUGGGGAACGGGUGAGUAAUACGUGGGUAACCUGCCCUCCUUUUUGGGAUAUGCCUUGGAAACGGGGUCUAAUACCGAAUUAAGGGGGUUGGUCUCGGGGCCUAUCAGCUUGUUGGUGCGGUGAUGGCCUACCAAGGCGGUGACGGCGAGCCUGCCUGAGAGGGUGAACGGGCACAUUGGGACUGAGAUACUGCCGAGGCGACUAAGGGGGGGAGCAGUGGGGGAUAUUGGACAAUGGGCGAAAGACUGAUGCAGCGACGCCGCGUGGGGGAUGAAGGCUUUAGGGUUGUAAACCUCUGUCGCUAUCGAGCGGGUAGGUGGAGAAGAAGCGCCGGCUAACUACGUGCCAGCAGCCGCGGUAAUAC
rnacentral:rRNA from 1 species